GUCUAUAGCUGUGAUGGUCAAAGUGCUUUGCCUGAUAUCAGACAGAGGUUUCAUCUCAGCGGAGUGGGUGGAUUAAAAGGGCUGGACCCAGACAGCGGGUACUUUUGUAUUCAUACGGCUCUGAGACGGCGUGAGUCUGUCACAUAAUUACAGAUGCAGACCAGGAGGCUCCAGCGGACCUUGUCGUGAGUGGAUUCAAACACAACACACCCUGGGGUGCGCCUCCACAUUUCCUCUCCCAAUGUCGGAUUGAGCAAAGCGCUGAUAAGGCCUGUGUCGUUUCUCCUGAUUGCCACGCGCUCCCGUGGAGACGGGAGCCGCGUUCUGAUCCGCGCGGAGGGGCAUCGGCUCCAGGCUGGAGCCGAGCCAACAGGAAGAUUCUGAGCGUCAAUUACUGUCUUUAAAGUCACCCGCUGAUGAUUCCACACGGGUGUUUUUCUUGAAAUCGCGGUCAUGUGUGUUGGGGGAAGUUCUGAUAUGAGUGAUUUUGCAAUUGAGGUGAGAAGACGUCGCCCCCGCUGCAGACAGGUUUCCUAAUGCCUGUGAAAACCGCACGACGCGCAUGCAAAACACUACGAGCGCCAUUUAUCUUAUCAUAUAAUAAAAUAUAUGUAGGCUAUAAUGCAUUAUUUAAAAAAAUAACACGAUUAAAAAAACACUUAACAUUACUAAUAAAUAAAUAAAUGUAUAUUAGUAAUGUUAAGUGUAUGUGAAAUGGGGGAGGACCUUCAGCUAAACAGGGGCGGGCUGGGGGUAGAAAGUGGCCCGUGAGUUACUGUCAGAACGGCCC
ensembl:lncRNA